AGUUGAAGGUACCGGCCAUGGUGCUGCUGUAUUUCCACGUGCACAUGGGACUAAAAGCACACAGUAGGGUGACAUACGGAUCCUCUAGCUCUCACUCAAAACUUCUGGGGCUGGAGAUGCAGCUUAUGUUACAAAGGUGGCUCUUGAGAAGGUGAGGAGUGCCUGGCAGACUCCCCCGGACGCCCCGCUGCUUCUGCACACCGGAAUAGCCUGACAGUUUCUCUGUCUCACCUGAGCAGUAGCAUCCAGAAAGCUGGCCAGUUCCCAAGUGAUGGAAGCAAGUUACCCUACUGCCCACAGCUCCUACUUUAUGAAGAAAAACAAAGGAUCUGCGGGUGGUGUCUGACUUUAUGUAGGGGAUUAGCUCAUACGUUCCUUGGCACAGUGCUUUCCCCCUUCUGGAUGCUCAAGAAAUAUGAUUUGAUGAUAAGCCUGCCUGUGAUUUCCAGAUGCCUUUGUUUCCCUCCUGUUGAUUCCUCAGUCUUGCCAGGGAAGGUAAGCUACUGUGUCAUUAGGCAAAGACUCUUCUUCAAUAAGUGUAGGUGGGUGAGUGAAGGUUGAAUACCAAGAGAACAAAGGGGAAAGGAAAUAGAGUACUUUGCCACUUGUACAACCUUUACUAACAAUUUUCUUUUGAAGCUGUACAUUUAUUACUUUCAAAUAAAAAGCUUUGUUGAAUAAAAAUCUUCUUAAAAUUACCCUUAAGUGCGCCAUUUUGUUCAAGACGAACCCAUUAAACGUUUUCUUUAGUA